GGACGAACCAGAAGAACUUGGUCGCCUUCAGCUGGAAACCGAUCAUCGGGUACACGAUCGAUGAGAAGAGUAGCACCUGGACGAACAUGUAAGCACGAGCAUCCAAGCCAGUGGUUGGCUCAUCCAUAAAUAUAAUGGAGGGACUAGCUACCAGCUCCACAGCUAUUGUUAGUCUUUUCCGCUGCUCGGCUGACAGGCCAGUUGACCCUGGGAUGCCCACCAUGGCAUUCUUCAAGUCAGUGAGCUCAACAAGGCUCAUGACUUCUUCGAUAAACAUCUGAAAUACAUUUGAAGAGAAAUUUUGUGUCAGGUACCAGCUUCCAGCAAUGAUAAAGAGGGGGCGAGGUUGAUGCACAUACAUCUCUUUGAUGAGGUUUAGCAUUUGAAGGCAGACGAAGCCAUGCAGAAAACUUCAGUGACUCGUAAACAGUGAGAUUAGGGGAGUGAAUGUCACUCUGUUCACAGUAACCUGAUAUCCUUGAGAAUGUCUCCUGCUUCUUAGGGUAGCCUGCUAUCUUAACAGUCCCUUCAAUAUAUCCCCCAGUUUUUCUUCCAGCCAAUACAUCGAGCAAUGUUGUCUUGCCAGCGCCAGUUAUCCCCAUCAGAGCUGUUAGCACUCCUGGCCUGAAAGCACCACUGACAUCUUGUAGCAGCUGAAGCUUUUUCUCCGUUACUCCAUUUUUUGCCAUCUCCUGGUGGAAUACGUGUGUUCUUUUGGUCAGUAGUUGACUGGAAUUGAUGCAGCUAUUGGGUAAGGUUUGAAGUGGUCAAGGGAUUACCUUAGGCAUGUCAACGAAAUAGUUGAUAUGAUCAAAGACAAGGGAGAGGGGCCGAAAUGGGAGGAUAGCUUGAUCAGUUGACUCAUUGCCAUUUCCAACCAUUUGGCUUUGGUACUCUGAAUUCGCCUUGGUGACCUUGAUGUUAACUUGAUGCUUGUGUGGAGCUGCAAAUAGUAAACAAGACAGAUAAUUAUCUUUUUCAUUUCUUUUCAUCAUUUACAAGAUUUGUGACAGAUUAGUGUACAUACAGUUCAUGAACUCCAAUGCAAAUAUGCUGAGGAUGUUGAAGCCCAGCGAGAAUCCAAAUAAAAUGCCGACACAAAUCCAAUACCAGUGCCAUUCCGUAAGCUGCCCCCUGAUCUUGAGGAUAGCUUCACCGACAGUGUUAGCAUUGGCAUAAUUGAAUUCCUAUCAGUACCCAAGAUCAUUGUCAGUUGUGGUGUAUUUAUACAUUUAAUCAAGAAUCUUAGUGUAGUUUGAGAAAGAUACACUAGCAUACAGUUAGCAAUUCCAAGUGUUGAAAUGAGUGCUUACUGUAGCCCAUCUUUUGUCAAGAAACUCGUUCAGGGAGAUCGCAUUCUGUGCGUAGGUGAAUGGGGAUGUCCAAUAUCCCCAGCGCAACCAUGGUUGGAGAUCAUCUGUUUCAAUGUGCAGAUUGGUAAGCAACUUAGUUGCACAAAGCCUUUAAUAAUACUUGUCCUGUGUUACUGAGUGUCGUAUACUAAUGCUUCCUGAUGUAUUCUGAGCUAAAUCAUCUAACCUUUUGAUAUGAUGAAGCCCCCAAAUAUGUAGAUUGCUAUAAGAGCUGCAGUCCCUAGCAUGUUGGCCAUCACUUGUGUCCUUCCUAUGGCUGCUAAGAAGCGAUACAGGCUCAUUGACAUUUGAUGCAUGCCAAAAAGUACCACAAAGUGCUGGAUGAACCUGCCAUAAGCAAGGGAAGUCUUUUGUGUUACUUCGUCCUAUUGAAGUACUAUUUAUUUCUCAGAUCUUUAGGUAUAUAAGUGGCAAGAGAUGAGUACCUGAUAAGGGAAGGUGCAAAUCCAAUCACGUAGUAGGUUAAGCCCGUCCAAAGGCCUGUCUCAACAAGUGAAAUUGGGAUGCUAAUAAGGAAAACUGAAGAAAGGAGUGCCCAUCCUGGCAAUGCUAGUAACUCUCUUUGCUUGUAGAAGGUGGGAAGCCGCUUUAUUGUCAUUGCAAUUUCAGUCAUGCCAUUGAAGUUUACUAUGACAACAGCCAUAAAGAGUGCUCCCAUGUAUUUGUUGGCAUCAAGUACGGAAUUGUGACUCAUAUUUGUUCUCAGGAAAAGUGUAGAGAUCACCAGGGCCAUAACAGUUAUCUGUAUGAUCUUGAAUAUAUGCACCGGAGAGUUUCUUUUUAGAAGCAGUACUUCCCUUGAGAAGCAUGCCUUGAAAAUGUUCCAUCUGGAGAUCCUGCGACUUGCAUUCAUUUUUACUCCCUUGUUCUUUCCAGUAUUGUUUGGACUGUAGAGUUUGUCUUUUACAAGUCGAGGGAGAUAGGAGGUGCGGAAGGAUUCUGCAAAUUUUUCAAUUGAAUGGUACUGGUACUUAUUUUCAUCACCAGCCCAGUAUUGCUUUUGGUCCAUCUUUGAGGUUACCUGGUCAGUGGUCAAUUGGAGAAAAGCUAAUACAUUAUUUUGCACAAGUACAUAUAUUGCAGAAUACUGAUUUUUGUGCCACUGCUGAAAUUAGAAAUUGAGCAUAUUAACUGAAGUUUCCAGUUGGCACUUUGUACUGGAAAAUGAAUAGAUAAUUCUGAUAGACUACAAGAAUUCCUGUACUAGUUCUGGCCUUCACUUAGGUGCCAGUUAAGUAUAUCCUUACUCUGUUCCCUGUUCUGAUUUUCUAGCUAGUUUCUUCCAUCUGGUUUGAUAGUUAUAAACAUUCUUUUUUUAACACUAUAAGCAUUCUUUGUUAUCAUGAAGAUUCCUGUCCUGUUAAGAACCUUUUGCUUGAGGGAAGUUCUUAAGGUGGUAAAAUUUCAGUUAAUGUAGCUUUAUUUCAUAUCGAAGCACGUGCUGCCAGUGGCAGCUAUACAAAGCCUGUAGCUAUAUAUGUAUUUUACCUUAAGUUCUGGUUGGAAAGACAGAAAAUGCACCCAUAGGCAGUAACGAUUGAGGGUAUGCUUACCAAUUGUGGCUCUUUUCUUUUGCCCUCCUGAUAUUCCUCUUCUCAGCUCGUCUCCUACUAGAGUGUCAGCACACUCAGACAAGUCAAGUAUCUGCAUAUAAUCAACUUUUACUAUUAUAUGUUAAGAUAUAUAACAAAUUGAAAAAGUAACCAAGUUACCUUGAUAAUAUAGUUUGUUGCAAGGUUUCUUCCUUCUCCAAAGGUGGUGGCCUGCAGAGAACACCUGUUUGAGUAAUUAAACCAAGUAUAAUCCAGUUUUAGCAGAAAUAAAGGAGUACAGAACGAACUACCUUAAUUAAUGAAUCAAGAUCUUGGUCCACUUUAUUGAUGACACCCUUUUUUCUUCUUAUCGCUUCUCCUAGCAUCUCUGAGGUUUUCAUUCCAAGCAAACAUGAACUUUGUGUCAGUAUAUUUGCCAUGGAAAAUUUGAUAUAUCUUGAAUAUUCUAUAGAUACUUCUUUCUUGAGUUACAGUGUA